rnacentral:lncRNA from 10 species
AAAGCACUUAUUAAUAUCUGUUUUAUACUGUAUGCAGUGUGGCAUAGUAAAAACUAUAUUAGAUGAGGAAUUAGAAGAUGUGGAUUCUGGUCUCUGGACCCUCAUUUUUUCAUCAUUUAAUAAGGGGGCUAAAUUAAGCCCCAUUUAAUAUUCCUUUCAGCUCUGGCAUCUGUGACUCCAGUGCCCAUUCAUUCCCUUGCCUACCUGCAGCAGGAAGGCCGGAGAAUCUCCCAUUCCCUGCUGGCCUCCCAGAGAUCUAGCUGAUAGACUUAAAAAAGAAAAGAAAGAAACCACUCACACAUACCUGGGAAUAUAUCCCAGGUACUUUAAGUGAAAAAAAAAGAUAAGUUGAAGUACUAUGUGUAAUUCUAAUAUAUAAACAUUCCAUAAUAUUUUUGGAAAUAUAGAUUUGGUAGAAACUAUCUCUUAGGCAGGAUUGAAGGAAAUUUUACUUUAGAUCUUACACAUUUCUAUAUUGUUUGAAUCUCAUACUGUGAGCAAGUUUCAUUUGAUAAUCAAGAUAAUAAUAAAGAUGUAAAAAAUAAAGUUAAAACAUGUUCAUUAUAGAAAAUUUGGAAGAAAAAAGAGAAACAUCACUUACAGUCCAUCCCAACUUAGAAAUAUUGCCAUUAACAUUUUAAUUGAUAUCCUUUCAGUCUUUUUUUCUAUAUGUGUGUAUCACCUGGAACUAUACAUAUAUAUUCAUAAAAUAUAAUCAUAUUGUCCAUGCUAUUUUAAAACUUUCUUCACUUAACAAUAUAUUGUUUAUAUUUUUCCACAUCAUUAAAGUUUCUUCUACAGUCUACAGCACGAUUUUAAUGAUGGCUUGUUUUCCCAUCAUCUAUGUGGCCAACCUUUUAUGCUGCACAUUUUGGCUGUUCCCAGUUUCCCCUUUGUAGUAUUGACAGGCUUUUGGAGAAUAAUGAAACGCUGAAAUGUUUGGCUUGGUUUCCCUCUUGGGUAGAGUCUGCUGCUCAGUCUUUUCUUCUGCCUCUUUGUAUCCUUUAGCUUUUGGGUGGAGGCCCAGAGAGCUCCACAAGGGGUGAUGUGUGUUUAAGAAACUCAGCUAAAGGAAACAAACUGAUUGCAAAGAACUCUGAACCUAGGGUGUUGGGGGAAAUGCUGAGCAUUGUAAUUGGCCUAAUGCUGCUCCUGUGAGAGAUGCCAUCUCCCUAGGCCUCCAAAGUUCUGGCAGGGAUUUUAACUCUUCUCAUCCAGCUGAUGACAGACAAAUAUUCAUCACUUCAACAGUUAGGUGCAACCCCCAAAAUGUUUCCUCAAGUCCUUCCUCACUGCAAAUGCCUACCAGCUCAUCUCUGAAGAUGGAAAAGCAAGCGUGGUGACAUCUGCAAAUCUGGACAGUGGGCUUUAGGAUUCAUCUGAAAAGAAAGGCUCUUGGACAGUGCUGGACCUUGCUCCCUGAGCCAGGCUGUGGGUCCAGUGGUGACUCAGGAAGGAAUGCCACUGACAAGCCACAGGCAUGCCAGAGAAUUACUCAGCACAAGCCAACAAGUAACCUCAUACGAGAAUCAAACGCCAGCCAAUCUGCGAACGCUUUGCGUAACAGCAUAUUUGGAUUUGGGGCUUAGCUUUCAGGCUUGAGUUUCACGUUUGCCUGAGCAUACUCCCAGCCUCCCAGGGCCCCUUCUGUGUGCCCUGCCUCUGAUUGCAAGUGCAGAGAGCAGUUCUCCCAAGAGCCAGGGCUCAGCUCACCCCUGCAGGUAACGCAGACCUCUGCUAGGGAUCAGCUGUCUAUCAUCUGGUGGCGCCCCUCUUUCCAGCCAGCGCUACAUCUUCAUAUGCCUUUUCUUACCAACAGGUCAGCAAUGUGGGUGACAGAUACUUCUUUUUGCUGUUGGAACACUUCAUAUUCAUCUCUGGUAUUGUCAUGGCCUUUGACAUACCUUACCAACAAGAGAGUCAGAGCCACAGGAUGAACUUUCUCAACCCAUCCUCUUUAAGGAAAAGAAGUUGUUGGCUGAGUCACGAGGACCUUAUGUAUGCCAAGAACAUCGUUUUUGCCUCCUUAGGUGAAACUUUAUUUCCCACAUUUAGGAUUCAUUAGGAUUAUCUAAGGGCAUGGCAAGAGGAGAAUUUUCUGAGGGCAGCAAGAUACCUGGCUAUGUCCCCAGUGGCGCCUUUCCAAGACUUCUGGCUACACAUCUUUCACCUCCCAGCCUCGUGCUGAACACUGUUGGGGUGCAGUUGGCCUGCCUGCCUCACCCGUGGGCAUAUUGGGACACUCCUGUCAGGGUGUAGUUAGACCUAAAAGAGCUCUCACCCCUCUCAGGGAGGCUUCAUGACUGAGGAAUCUGAAGGCAGAUCUGGCAGAAGCUGGGAAGGGGAAGGGAAUGGAGAGUAAGAAGGGGGACCUGCCAAAAACAUGCACAGACAGUUCGUAGGCAAAUGCAUGUUCCCACAAAAGACAUAAUAGCUGUGUGUGUAUGAUACCCUGCUGAAGUCCCCUUAUAUGAUCAUUCCAGUUAGUCUAGCCACCUUGAAAACAUAUUUCAAACCCUGGUUGAGUAAUCC